CAAGUCGCACGAGAAAGGGCUUCGGCCCCGGUAAAGUGGCGCACGGGUGAGUAACACGUAGGUAAUCUCCCCUCGAGUGGUGGAUAACCCUCCGAAAGGAGAGCUAAUACAGCAUGAGACCACGAGCUCUUCGGAGCUUGCGGCCAAAGCAGGCCUCUACAUGUAAGCUUGCGCUGGAGGAUGAGCCUGCGGCCCAUCAGGUAGUUGGCAGGGUAAUGGCCUACCAAGCCUAAGACGGGUAGCUGGUCUGAGAGGAUGAACAGCCACACUGGAACUGACACACGGUCCAGACUCCUACGGGAGGCAGCAGUGGGGAAUCUUGCGCAAUGGGCGAAAGCCUGACGCAGCGACGCCGCGUGAGCGAUGAAGGCCUUCGGGUUGUAAAGCUCUGUGGGGAGGGAAGAAUAAGGGUUGGCUAAUAUCCAGCUCGAUGACGGUACCUCCUUAGCAAGCACCGGCUAACUCUGUGCCAGCAGCCGCGGUAAUACAGAGGGUGCAAACGUUGUUCGGAAUUACUGGGCGUAAAGCGCGUGCAGGCGGCCUUGCAAGUCGGACGUGAAAUCCCACGGCUCAACCGUGGAAGGGCAUUCGAAACUGCGAGGCUGGAGUCCUGGAGAGGAAAGUGGAAUACUCGGUGUAGAGGUGAAAUUCGUAGAUAUCGAGUGGAACACCGGUGGCGAAGGCGGCUUUCUGGACAGGUACUGACGCUGAGACGCGAAAGCGUGGGGAGCAAACAGGAUUAGAUACCCUGGUAGUCCACGCCGUAAACGAUGAGUGCUAGGUGUCACGGGCUUUGACCCUCGUGGUGCC
rnacentral:rRNA from 1 species